CCUUUGUCUAGGGAGAAAGUACCACAGUUUUUGUCUGAUCCCCCUCAAAAUGUUGAGAACCUCUAGGCCAGGGAGACCCUCCACUCCUGAGGCUGCUGCCCAGGGCAGGAGGGCCCAUGGUCUGCUUCCGACCCUCCUACAGCAUGUGCAACCUACAGCCGACCUCAGGCCAGGACCAGAACAGUGUGGCUGACCUGGACUUGCAGCUGCAGGAGCAGGAGCGCAUCAUCAACAUCUCCUACGCCCUGGCCUCCGAGGCCUCCCAGCGUAGCAAGCAGGUGGCAGCACAGCAGCUGGCCCUCCUCCCGCCUAAAGGCCCCCUGUCUUCCAGGACGGUGCCACCUUACCCCCCUUUUACCAACGGACUCCACUACACCUUUGUCUAACACCUUCCAACCCAGGCAGUGACUGACCCGUGACCCAGCAUGCAAAGGAGAAGCCUGGAGCCAGGGGCCCAGUGGAACCAGCUUCCUCCAAGGAGAUGACCUUUCUGCCCCCAAGGAAACCCCUUCCAGCUGAGCAGGGAAUCCGGCUGGAGGAAGGAGCAGCUUACCGACUGCGGGUGUUCACCACAGGCCAGGCCCUAAUAUGCACCUACUAGUUAAGCUCAGACUCCUCUCUACAUAUGAAUGGCAAAGGCACUUUUGAUAUACACUGUAAAAUACACUGUAUUUUAGAAUCAGAAUCUAUUUUCUAAUGUUCCCCUCAAGGGCUGAGUGGCAGGAAGGUUGAGGAUGCAGGACUUUGCAGCUGCACGUACAGAUUCAGGUACUUCUGGGUGACAGGUGUUGGGGGGGCAGGAAGGGCGGGGCAAGCCAAGGCUAGUCCAACUUCCAGUGACCUCAGGAGAAAGUGAGAUUUGAAGAGGUGUUCCCAGUAGACUCCAGCAAGAGGCUGGUUGGCGUGCUGUCUGGGAGAAGAGGGGCCCUUGGCUGCAGAGAUCAGCUGUCCCUGACCUGAUGACCAGCUCUGUGUGAAACUCCACGAGGAUCGCACGUGGAGCCCAAGUCUGUGCCUUGCCCCUUGGGUUUGGCUUAGGGGCAACAGUGUGUUCAAGAGGACUGGGGCCCACAACCUGCCCCCAGGCUUCCUCCAG
rnacentral:lncRNA from 1 species